CCACAGCUCGAGCCCCGCGGCCUCCGCACCGGACCGCUCGCCCCCGACUGGGCAUCCUCUGCGCUCCGGCCGCGGCGCCGGCUGCCUCCCAGCUGAGCCCCAGCGGCGACCCGUGUCCCCUCGGACCCCGGGGACAGAAGCGGCUACGGUGCGUCCACGGGGACUCCGCCCUCGAUCUCCGCUGGCGCCUCUGGUUCCAAAGACGGGCACUGCCCGCUGAGUCCUCUGCGGCCUGGACCUUCGGGGGAGGGACUCUGACCCGUGUUCCAGAGACUCUACAAACACCUGGGAAAUGAGCCCGAGAACCGUUGCAACGGAGCGGCCAGGCCGUCAUGACUCCCCGUGAGCUCGUCCGGAGGGAGUGCGGGAUCCAAGUGCGGGAUCCAAGCCACACUUACCCGGUGCCGCUGAGGGGCAGCCUCGCCUGGAGGCUGGAAGUAAGAACGAAAACAGAAACUGACGGUAGUGCUUGACGGACCAGGCCACCAUCUUCGGUUGGACUCUCUCCCCGGCCUCCCAGCUCGCCCCGCGGGACCCCUCCAGCCCUCACAUGCUCUGCGAUGGUUACAUGAACUCGCGGGCAGCGGCACGCGCACCCUCUCCGGCUGUGCCCCCGGUGGCCCGUUAGGGGAGACGCCGGGAAAAGCUUCCCGGGGGGACCGCAGACCAUGAACCUCCUCCUGAGGCUGCGGAGGAGCUUCCGCGCCCUCAUCGCGCUCCUGGCCGCCUUCUGCCUGGCCAGCAUCGCCUUCUCCGCCUACUUCCUCUACGCGGGCUCCCGGCAGGAGGUGGUGCUGCUGGAAGCCACCGCCAAGGCCGAGUGCGCCGACCUCAGGCU